rnacentral:rRNA from 1 species
AUACGUAGGGGGCGAGCGUUGUCCGGAAUGAUUGGGCGUAAAGGGCGCGUAGGCGGCCCGGUAAGUCUGGAGUGAAAGUCCUGUUUUUAAGAUGGGAAUUGCUUUGGAUACUGUCGGGCUUGAGUGUAGGAGAGGUAAGUGGAAUUCCCAGUGUAGCGGUGAAAUGCGUAGAGAUUGGGAGGAACACCAGUGGCGAAGGCGACUUACUGGACUGUAACUGACGCUGAGGCGCGAAAGUGUGGGGAGCAAACAGGAUUAGAUACCCUGGUAGUCCACUCUGUAAACGAUGAAUGCUAGGUGUAGGGGGUAUCGACCCCUUCUGUGCCGCAGUCAACACAAUAAGCAUUCCGCCUGGGGAGUACGGCCGCAAGGUUGAAACUCAAAUGAAUUGACGG